GAUGAAGAACGUAGCGAAAUGCGAUACCUGGUGUGAAUUGCAGAAUCCCGCGAACCAUCGAGUCUUUGAACGCAAGUUGCGCCCGAGGCCACUCGGCCGAGGGCACGCCUGCCUGGGCGUCACGCCAAAACACGCUCCCAACCCCCCUCAUCGGGAAUAGGGAUGCGGCAUAUGGUCCUCGUCUCGCAAGGGGCGGUGGGCCGAAGAUCGGGCUGCCGGCGGACCGCGCCGGACACAGCGCAUGGUGGGCGUCCUCGCUUUAUCAACGCAGUGCAUCCGACGCGUAGCCGGCGUGAUGGCCUCAAAACGACCCAGCAAACGAAGCGCACGUCGCUUCGACCGCGACCCCAGGUCAGGCGGGACUACCCGCUGAGUUUAAGCAUAUCAAAAGCGGAGGA
rnacentral:misc_RNA from 1 species